AGCGCUAAAACCACUCGACAACACUGCGCUGAUAUGUUCGCAUACAUAUAAAAGUGCGGCAGUGGAUUCAUUUGAAAACAAAUUAUUCUGUUGUAUAGUCACGAUCGCCUGUGAACAGUGAUUUAUAAAUUCCACUAUGAAAUUCACCAUUGUGUUUAUGUUUAUCUUCGCCAUAAUUGCUGCAGUAUUUGCCCUCCCAGAACAACGCCUAGUUGGAGCUGAAAAAUGUACCUGGGGUCCAUCAUACUGGUGCCAGAGCAAAGAAAUUGCCGAAUCUUGUAAAGCAACGCAACACUGUGAAGAAAAAGUCUGGAGCAAAGGCAAUUAGAUUACCGAUUAUACUAUUUUUUUAUUAAUAUGUUAAACUUAUAAAUAAAAAAAAACUUUAUAAAUAAAUAAAAAAUAUUAUUACAGGAAA